UCUUUCUACCCAUGACUGUUAAGGCCAGUAGCCCCAAAAGGGGUCAUAACUGGCCACCAAUGGCAAUGGCAUUGGCCAUUGUUUUGAUUUCAACUAGUGUGGUUUCUGCUGCUGCAGAUAGUUAUAUUUACUCUUCUCCUCCACCACCUUACGAGUAUAAGUCGCCACCGCCACCAUCACCUUCACCACCACCUCCUUAUGUUUACAAAUCGCCACCUCCUCCAUCCCCAUCACCUCCACCACCUUAUGAGCACAAGGCUCCUGCUUAUGAGUACAAGUCACCACCACCACCAACUCCUUCACCACCACCUCCUUAUGUGUACAAGUCACCACCACCGCCAUCUCCUUCACCACCACCUCCUUAUGUGUACAAGUCACCACCACCACCCUCACCUUCCCCACCACCACCAUACUACUACAAGAGUCCUCCACCACCUUCUCCUUCACCUCCACCUCCUUACUACUACAAAUCUCCUCCACCACCCUCACCUUCCCCACCACCACCAUACUAUUACAAGUCUCCUCCACCACCAUCUCCCUCACCUCCACCACCAUAUUACUACAAGUCUCCCCCACCACCCUCACCCUCCCCUCCACCCCCAUAUAUACACAAGGAUCCACCAUACUAUUACAAGUCCCCACCACCACCUUCACCAUCUCCUCCACCACCAUACUACUACAAAUCUCCCCCACCCCCUUCACCGUCUCCUCCACCACCAUACUACUACAAAUCUCCUCCUCCUCCAUCUCCUAUUCCCAAAACACCUUACUACUACAAAUCUCCCCCACCCCCUUCACCAUCUCCUCCACCACCAUACUACUACAAAUCUCCCCCACCCCCUUCACCGUCUCCUCCACCACCAUACUACUAUAAAUCUCCCCCACCACCGUCACCCUCUCCACCACCACCUUACUAUUACAAGUCUCCUCCCCCACCUUCACCAUCUCCUCCACCACCAUACUACUACAAAUCUCCUCCUCCUCCAUCUCCUAUUCCCCAUACACCUUACUAUUACAAAUCUCCCCCACCACCUUCACCAUCUCCUCCACCACCAUACUACUACAAAUCUCCUCCUCCUCCAUCUCCUAUUCCCCGUACACCUUACUAUUACAAAUCUCCCCCACCACCUUCACCAUCUCCUCCACCACCAUACUACUACAAAUCCCCUCCUCAUCCAUCUCCCAUUCCCCAUACACCUUACUAUUACACAUCUCCCCCACCACCUUCACCGUCUCCUCCACCACCAUAUUACUACAAAUCUCCUCCCCCUCCGUCUCCUAUUCCCCACACACCUUACUACUACAAGUCCCCACCACCACCAAAGGUCCUUCCACCACCAUACUAUUACAAUUCUCCUCCUCCACCUGUUGUGUAUCCUCACCCAUAUCCCUACCACCACUCACUUAUUGUGAGGGUAGUCGGUAAAGUCUACAGCUUCAGAUGUUAUGAUUGGAAUUAUCCUGCAAAGUCUCAUAACAAGAAACAUCUCAAAGGUACAUUACAUUUCUUAGGACCGGACCUCUUUAGAGUAAUGUGUUUAGAGAUAAUGCACAAUUUUUUAUUUUUUUAUCUCGUAAAGGUUUAUUUAUUAUAAUCACAAUUUCACUUUUGUCAAAAAGAAAAACAAUUUUACUAUAUAUAGUUUUAAUCAUUAACAUUUUGAUGUAAAAAGAAUACAAUUCUCUAUUACCUUUUUACUAUGAUAUAUAUACAAAGAUUAUUCAAAUCUAUAUAUCCAACCUAAUUUCCAUCCAAAAAAAUAGAAAACAUAGGGUGCUUUGAACGCCUGCAGCAUCACAUGAAUAAAUAAAAACAAUCAAUAAUCAACCUUGUUCUAAUUUAUUUUAGACAGCGAUUGUUAAGCAUACUGCUCUUUUAAUUACAUUUUUUUUAAAGAUGCUCUUUUAAUUAUAUUGUCCUAAUAUAAUAUGUGUCUUUAUAUAUUACUUGUCGUAAACUAAUUUUAUUAUGGGUGCAGGAGCUGUUGUUGAGGUGACAUGCAAAGCCGGGAGCAAAAUUGUCAAGGCUUAUGGAAAAACUAAGAACAAUGGAAAGUAUGCCAUCACAGUUAAGGACUUUGACUAUGUCAAAUAUGGUUCGACAGUGUGCAAGGCUGCCCUAUAUGCUCCACCUAAGGGUUCACCCUUCAACAUACCUACAAAGCUAAAUCAAGGAACAAAGUUGUACUUGAAAUCCAAAGACAAGUACGAGGUUGUGCUCAAGGCUAAGCCAUUUGCUUAUGCUUCAAAGAAACAUUUCAAAGAAUGUGAGAAGCCUAAGCCUUCACCAACUCCUUACUACUACAAAUCACCUCCACCUCCCUCACCAGUUUACAAAUACAACUCACCACCUCCACCGGUCCAUUAUUAUUCACCUCCAUACACCUACAAGUCACCUCCUCCCCCUGUGAAAGCGGCACCAACUCCUUACUACUACAAAUCACCUCCACCACCCGCACCGGUUUACAAGUACAACUCACCCCCUCCACCGGUCCAUUAUUAUUCACCACCAUAUACCUAUAAGUCACCUCCUCCCCCUGUGAAAGCGGCACCAACUCCUUACUACUACAAAUCACCUCCACCUCCCGCACCGGUUUACAAGUACAACUCCCCACCUCCACCGGUCCAUUAUUAUUCACCUCCAUAUACCUACAAGUCACCUCCUCCCCCUGUGAAAGUGGCACCAACUCCUUACUACUACAAAUCACCUCCACCACCCGCACCGGUUUACAAGUACAACUCACCACCUCCACCGGUCCAUUAUUAUUCUCCACCAUACUACUACAAGUCACCACCCCCACCAUCUCCAUCACCUCCUCCACCAUACUAUUUCAAAUACUAUUACAAGUCCCCACCUCCACCAUCACCAUCCCCUCCUCCACCUUAUUAUUACAAAUCUCCUCCUCCACCAAAACAAAUUUCACACCCUCCAUACUACUAUAAGUCACCACCCCCACCAUCACCAUCACCUCCUCCACCAUACUAUUAUAAGUCUCCACCUCCACCAUCACCAUCUCCCCCACCACCUUAUUAUUAUAAGUCACCACCCCCACCAUCCCCGUCCCCUCCUCCACCAUACUACUACAAGUCUCCACCUCCACCUAAAGAAAUAUCACAUCCUCCAUAUAACUAUAAGUCACCACCCCCACCAUCACCAUCCCCUCCCCCUCCAUACUAUUACAAAUCUCCUCCACCACCAUCACCAUCACCACCACCUCCCUACUAUUACAAAUCACCUCCACCACCAUCACCAUCACCUCCCCCUCCAUACUAUUACAAAUCUCCUCCACCACCAUCACCAUCACCACCACCUCCUUACUAUUACAAAUCACCUCCACCACCAUCCCCAUCACCACCACCUCCAUACUACUACAAAAGUCCCCCUCCACCAUCUCCAUCUCCUCCAUCCCCAUAUUACUACAAAUCUCCACCACCACCAUCACCAUCCCCACCCCCUCCCUACUAUUACAAAUCACCUCCACCUCCCUCACCAUCACCGCCACCUCCUUACUAUUACAAAUCACCUCCACCUCCCUCACCAUCACCGCCACCUCCUUACUAUUACAAAUCUCCCCCACCUCCAUCUCCAUCUCCACCACCUCCUUACCACUAUCAAAGUCCUCCUCCACCAUCUCCCAUUUCUCAUCCUCCCUACUACUACAAAUCCCCUCCACCACCAUCGCCGUCUCCUCCACCUCCUUACCACUAUGUGAGUCCUCCCCCACCAGUAAAGUCACCUCCACCACCAACUUAUAUCUAUGCUUCACCACCACCACCUCACUACAACUAAGCUCAAAGAGCAGAAGCUCCGUUCAUUAUAAAUCAUGUAAGUUUAUCAUCUUCAAUUUUCUGAAUGUGUGCGUGUGUAUUUGUUUUUUUGUUACAAGAUACUAACAAAAUUCUUUUCUUAUUUAUGUUCAGGUUUUAGUUUUCAUCUAGGAAUAAAGGCAAGCUCCAUUUGGAGUAAAGUGAAACUUCUAGCUUCGUGUCCGAAUUCGUUAAAUAAAUGUCGGGAUGUAUCGUCUUUGAGCUAUAAUAUUUCUGAUCCAGACAAUAUCUAUUUUGUUUCUUUGGUGGCAAUCUUGCACUUCCUGGUCUUAGUCUAUUCAAGUGACAGACAAAUCAAAAGGGAGAAGCGAGAUUAAUUUAUUUGUGAUCUCUUUGAUUUAUUUGUGCAUAUAUCAAUAUGAACGUGUAUGAUAUUUUUCUAUUUAUUGAAGAUUUUUUUACUGUAACCUGUUAUUGUGUUUGUCAAAAGGUGUUAAUAAAGAAUCACAUUCAAUUUCUGUUAAAUUAUCAGUAUUUGUUUCUUUCUAACAACUACCAUUCAUGCAAAUGUGGCUAUUAAAAAAAGCUCCAAUGACACAUAAAAAGCUUCCAAACAAUAUAUAAACAAAGAUGCAUUGUUUUCUGUUAAGAAGGGGACAGGGUUACGGUUACUUGUGUACCAAGUUAGUUAUCCAUGCUUUCUUGUUCAUAGGAUUUAUAUGGUGUAGUUGCACUUAGUUGCUAAAUGUAUGCAAGCUUUUCCUUUCUAUAAAUAAGCACACCUACUAUCAUUCUUCUCCACAUUCCUUUCUACUCUUCUAUCAUGAAUUGUUCAUCCACAUAAGAUGGUCACAGAGCACACCUAAUACUCUGCUACUGGUGUAUCAGUUCCUUUCCACCAGAAACUUAUGAUCUCUAAUUGAAAGAGAUCCUAAAGUUUUAAGAUUUCUACAAAAUACAUUAUUCUCAUUUUUGUACAAGUAUGAUACAAUUAUUCCCAAGUAUUAUUUAUUCUAAGGAAUAGAAUUUAGUUGUGGUUUCUCUAUUUAACCAACAUUUAUUUUUAAAUAACUAAAUUUAAAAAAAAAAUCCUGAAAUUAUUAAGUACAUACCUAACACAUUGUAAAAUUUUGUUCCCAAAGAAAAUAUUUUUGGCAAUAGAAUUUUCAGGAACUUCAUUCCUAGGAAUAUAAUUCUAUACUAAGAGAAGAGCUUAAGCAUUGAUACAUAACAAGACCAAUCCAUAUCCUAAUCACAAUCCUACUUUCACUAAAUACUUUCACUUAAGUGUGGUCUUGGAAAGGACAAAUGAAGAAAGACAUUCCAGAGGUAUGGUAAGGGACAAUAUCUGCAGUUAUGCACAUAUUGCAAGAUUGUGAGGAACUACCGGACUGAUUUGAUUCACCAAAAAAUUUGGAAUAAAUAUUUCAGCCCAGAACUCAGACAAUGACUGGAUUGGAACCUUUCAGCUUCUAAUAUCGGUACUGUCCAAGGAAAUAGUCAUUCUCUUUUUGGAGUAGCUGUGAAGGAUUUAUGGAAAGAUAGAACUAAGCUGGUCUUUUCUAGAAACACCGCGAUUGGAACUACUCUAUUUUGGCUUGUAGCCAAUCCGGCUAAGUUUAUUAACAAUGUAGUUUGUACUCAAGCUCACAGUCACGAUGUUGUCAGCAACAGUGGGCAUAUUGUUUAGGUAGCCUGGAAUUUUCCUCCCCAACACUUCUUCAAAGUGAAUAUGAUGGAUCUCUACGGGAUUAUGUUAGUUUCCAGGAUCGAACUCAGAACCUCCUGAUUAUAACUCCUUCAAUGUAUGUCCCUUACCCACGUGGGGCCUCGGCUGUAAUUGUUAACAUGGUAAAAUUUGGCUCUUCCAAUAAUGGUUUUAUCCAAACUCGAGGUUGUUUAUCGUCUCCAACAAUCAGAUUGGAGAAUACUAGUGGUUCAUGCAUUUGAACAAACCAACUGUUGUGCAGAUUUUCUAGUUGAUUUUGUUUUUCCUUUUUUGAGUAUUUUAUUAGCCAAUGAUAUAAGAGGUUGUAGCCUACCUCUUUUGAUUUCUUAAGACAAUCACUUUUGCAUUAGAAAAAAACGACCCUACAUAAAAUUAAUGAUUGAAUUAAGAUAUAACUUCAGUUUGAAAUAUUGUAAAAUUCUAUACCACCAAAAACUGAGAAUUUUAGAACCAUACAGGUUGGUGGAGUGGUCAUCCAGAUAACUUUAACAUAAUUAACAGUCCAAAAAGUAAAUAGCUUUAUCCUUUAUUUUCAAUCUGAUGUGAUUUACUCUUAUCUGUUAAACAUUAUAAUUAAGAAUCCAAAGGGAACACUCACCUAAUCUCUCUCUUUUUUCUAGCUUUUUCACUAAACCACUGUGUCUGUGGUUACCACAUUUCCUUAUGGAAUCAAUAUCCAAUUUAUGUUAAAAACCAUUUCUACAUUUUGUGUUAAAAAUGAUCUAAACAAAGAUGAUUUAUUUCUCUUAAAUUCAACAUAGAUCAUAUUUACAUGGUUCAAACUUUCUAUUACACGGCAUUGACUUAGUUGCUUCACAUGGGGACACAACUAAUGCAUAUAUUAUUUUAUAUGCUUAUAGUAAUUUUAACAAGUGGCAAUGGGGCAUAUGUUUUGUCAAAAAAACACAAAAAACAGGAGGCAUGUGCAACUGAAGUCACUGCCAGCUUGGCACUAAGAUAUAGUAAAAUAAUUGACAUUUGAAGAAAACAAAGACGUUGCUACAUUUCUAUUCAAACAAGCGACAUCAAUAUCAGACAAUGGUGCUACAUUUAAUAAUACUACAGCUAUCCCCAUAAGCACCUCUUAGAAAGAAAAAAAAAUAUCCAUUAAAUUAAUGUUGGAAGAGUUAGCAACAUGUCCUCUCCCAAAAAAACUCAUGUUUGAUUCCUAGAGUCGUCCAUUUCGAAAGAAGCUCAACCCUGAUAAUAAAAACCUAGAUGUUAUGCUGCAGACUUAAAGAUCAAUUUCAUAAUGGAUCCAAAGGGCCUAAGCUGUGUGGGAUACUUAAGGGGGUAUAUUGAGGCUAAGGGUCAAAGAUCUUAAUUAUGGUCGGUUAAAAAAAGAAGAAAAAAAAAUUAUCUCUAAAUAUAAAGUCAACAAUAUUUCAAAUUGCAAGAUACAUUUAUUUAUUUUUUAAAUAUGUAUAUACCUCUUAUUAAUACUUACUAAUUUGUUUUGAGUGAUAAAAAGUUACGAGUUAGACAGAUCAGCACAUAAAAAAAGUAUUUGAAAAACAUCUACCAACAAAAUAAACACAUUAAAAACAAUACUACUUUUUUACAAUACUGUAUGUGAAAAUGACAAAAUCUUGAAAAAGAUGGAGGUAACAUGUACUCUUUUUUUUUUAGAGGGGAGCAUGUACUUUUCCACUAACAAUGUUGAUAAGAAACAUAUAAAAUACUAUUAGAGAAAGAAAAAAAAUAAUAAAUAAAGAAAUAUAUAAAAUACUGAGGAAUGACUCACUCAUGUCAAAUUUUAGCAAGGGAGAAGUGAUAUCACAUCAUUUUAGAAGAGGAAUGAGAAUAGAUAGAUCUAAUUUUUCUAGUAAGUUUGAAUAGUAGAAUCAUACUUCUUUGUCUUUUGUGAAAAUUUCAUAUUAUGGGAUCUAUUACUAGAAUACAGGUGAUUUUAUUCUGGAAGAUUGACUUUUUAUUAAAAUAAAAUAAAAGUACAUUUUUUAUUUCCAAAUGCUUAGUUGUUCAUUUAUAAAUAUUACAUUAUCCAACAGCACCAAACCCUAUUUCAUAACGGUACUCUGCACGUUUCAUUCAUUUACUGGUGCCUUAGUUUUUUGUUACAAACAGACAUUGAUCAGAGGAACAAAUGUAGAGACAAAUUGAAGAUAAUAUAUCACAUAAUAUUGUAGACACACCUUCACAUACAAAUGGGGUAAAGUCCCUCAUAGUAGUAUUAGAAAUAACACUUAGAGUAAAAUUUUGCUAAAUUUAACAUGAAAAUAAGUGUAAUGUAUUUUAUAGGCAGCUAUACAUAAUUAUUAAUUAGAACAAUUUUUUACACUGUCAAACAAAAAUUGAACAAUUUUUUACUAGCUUUAUGCUUUAUGAUGUUUUGAUUCCAUGUGCACAUUUCAAUUUUAGAACUAUUCCUUUCUAUGUUACUGAAAUAAUUCUAUCAUUAGGCAUUGACAUUUCCAUUAUGCGUGCACGUUAAAGUGUUUUCCCAAACAGAGAAAUAUUAAGAAAGGUUAAACUUUUGACUUAAAGACACAACUAAAAUAAGAUCCAAGGAAAACCCCAUUGAUUAUUUCUUGCACAAAAUUAAAAACCCCAUUGAUUAUUUCUUGCACAAAAUUAAAAUGCUAAUAAUUUUUCCUGGUCUAUAUUUUUCUCCUUCCGGGAAAUGGCAACAUCACAUGUUCAUCUCAUAAUUGAGAAAACACAUGUCUGGGAAAAUAUCUUAAAGAAAAGGCAGUAAAGUAAUAAAAAGUGCACCAAAUAGAGAUUAACUAGUACUCUUUGCAUGUCAACUAAGUGGUAUAAUUAUGUAUAUCACAUUCUUAAUAUUGAUUAUCUUGAUUGCACGAUAAGCCCCUCAAAUUGCUCAAUCGAUGAUUGCUUGAUAAGCCCAUCAAAUUGCCCAAUCGAUCGAAUCGUAACUUUCGAUAGACAUUUUUUUUAAGAAAACCCAAUUGGAUCAUAACUCCCCAUAGUCAUUUAUUUGAAAUUGUGAGCAAUUUGAUAACUUAUUGAGCAAUCACCAUUGAUUUUAGUCUCAAUUUAUCCUAAUGUUGUAACCCUGGAAUAAUGGAACAGUGAGUAAAUUUGGUUUCUCCGUCUCAAAAUAAGUGUCACAAUUUAACCAUGUGCACUACUCAUCAAAUCUACUUUGACAACAUUUUUUUUACUAAUAUAUAAAGACAAUGUUAGUACAUUACAUGUUCGAUUUGUCUUAGUUAAUGUUUUUAAAAUAUCGACUUUAUUAUAAUUUUUCUUAAUAGACAAUCAAAAAUAUCAAUUGUCAAAAUUGUGUAUUGAUAUGUAUGAAAAUCAAACUAUAACACUUACUUUGAGACGAAGAGAAUAACUAUUAAAAACUAAUGUUCAAAUAGAAAGAAAAGAAAACAAAGAUUCCAUACAAAGCUUGCAAAAUAGCUACAAUCAUAACCUAGAACAAAAAUCAUGACCACACACUAUAUCCAUUUUCCUUUUCCUAAAAAGCAAUUGAAGAUAAAAAAAAAAAAAAUAAUAAAUAAAAAAAAAAAAAAAAAAAAAAAAAANACCACCAUACUACUACAAAUCCCCACCUCCACCAUCGCCUUCUCCUCCACCACCAUACUACUACAAAUCCCCACCUCCACCAUCGCCUUCUCCUCCACCACCAUACUACUACAAAUCCCCACCUCCACCAUCGCCUUCUCCUCCACCACCAUACUACUACAAAUCCCCACCUCCACCAUCGCCUUCUCCUCCACCACCAUACUACUACAAAUCCCCACCUCCACCAUCGCCUUCUCCUCCACCACCAUACUACUACAAAUCCCCACCUCCACCAUCGCCUUCUCCUCCACCACCAUACUACUACAAAUCCCCACCUCCACCAUCGCCUUCUCCUCCACCACCAUACUACUACAAAUCCCCACCUCCACCAUCGCCUUCUCCUCCACCACCAUACUACUACAAAUCCCCACCUCCACCAUCGCCUUCUCCUCCACCACCAUACUACUACAAAUCCCCACCUCCACCAUCGCCUUCUCCUCCACCACCAUACUACUACAAAUCCCCACCUCCACCAUCGCCUUCUCCUCCACCACCAUACUACUACAAAUCCCCACCUCCACCAUCGCCUUCUCCUCCACCACCAUACUACUACAAAUCCCCACCUCCACCAUCGCCUUCUCCUCCACCACCAUACUACUACAAAUCCCCACCUCCACCAUCGCCUUCUCCUCCACCACCAUACUACUACAAAUCCCCACCUCCACCAUCGCCUUCUCCUCCACCACCAUACUACUACAAAUCCCCACCUCCACCAUCGCCUUCUCCUCCACCACCAUACUACUACAAAUCCCCACCUCCACCAUCGCCUUCUCCUCCACCACCAUACUACUACAAAUCCCCACCUCCACCAUCGCCUUCUCCUCCACCACCAUACUACUACAAAUCCCCACCUCCACCAUCGCCUUCUCCUCCACCACCAUACUACUACAAAUCCCCACCUCCACCAUCGCCUUCUCCUCCACCACCAUACUACUACAAAUCCCCACCUCCACCAUCGCCUUCUCCUCCACCACCAUACUACUACAAAUCCCCACCUCCACCAUCGCCUUCUCCUCCACCACCAUACUACUACAAAUCCCCACCUCCACCAUCGCCUUCUCCUCCACCACCAUACUACUACAAAUCCCCACCUCCACCAUCGCCUUCUCCUCCACCACCAUACUACUACAAAUCCCCACCUCCACCAUCGCCUUCUCCUCCACCACCAUACUACUACAAAUCCCCACCUCCACCAUCGCCUUCUCCUCCACCACCAUACUACUACAAAUCCCCACCUCCACCAUCGCCUUCUCCUCCACCACCAUACUACUACAAAUCCCCACCUCCACCAUCGCCUUCUCCUCCACCACCAUACUACUACAAAUCCCCACCUCCACCAUCGCCUUCUCCUCCCCCACCUUACUAUUACAAAUCCCCACCGCCACCUUCACCAUCUCCCCCACCACCCUACUACUAUAAAUCACCCCCACCACCUUCACCAUCUCCUCCACCACCAUACUACUACAAAUCACCCCCACCGCCAUAUGAACACAAGACUAAACCAUACUAUUACAAGUCUCCUCCACCACCAUAUGAACACAAGACUAAACCAUACUAUUACAAGUCCCCACCACCACCUUCACCAUCUCCUCCACCACCAUACUAUUACAAGUCCCCACCACCACCUUCACCGUCUCCACCCCCACCAUACUACUACAAAUCACCUCCUCCUCCAUCACCUAUUCCCCAUACACCUUACUACUACAAGUCCCCACCACCACCUAAGGUUCUUCCACCACCAUACUAUUACAACUCUCCUCCUCCACCUGUUGUGUAUCAUCACCCUCAUCCCUACCACCAUGCAUUGAUCGUGAAGGUAGUGGGUAACGUCUACAGCUUCAGAUGUUAUGACUGGGAGUAUCCUGAAAAGUCUCAUAACAAGAAACACCUCAAAGGUACAUCACAUUACAUUUCUCAAUUCUUUCAUUUUUAUAGAUUUUAUGUACAUCACUAUUGGCUCGUAGUUUCUCAAUACCAUUACAACUAAACUGCAAGUUUCAGUAAUGAGAUUCAUAUAGACAUGUUUUUAUUAACAUCUUUGUUUCUUAGAAAUUAUACAAACACUUAAUUUAGGUUUCUCCAUGUCCAAUAAAGUAAACAAUUGAUAUAUCAAAUUAACAUAUAUGAUAUAUCAUUUACCUCAUUAAAAUUUAAUAAUCCUGCCUAAUAUAAAGAUUCGGUUUGAAAAUGAUAGUUUAGUGAGCUUCUUUAUAAUAACACUCUCCAAUAUAUUAUGUUUUAAAAACAAUUAUAUUUCUAUUUGUCUAAAUUCAAAUUUGUUAUGGGACAGGUGCUGUUGUUGAAGUGACAUGCAAAGCCGGGAGCAAAAUCAUCAAGGCUUACGGUAAAACUAAGAUCAAUGGAAAGUAUGCCAUCACAGUUAAGGACUUUGACUAUGUCAAAUAUGGUUCAACAGUGUGCAAGGCUGCCCUUUAUGCUCCACCUAAGGGUUCACCCUUCAACAUACCUACAAAGCUAAACCAAGGAACAAACUUGUACUUGAAAUCCAAAGACAAGUACGAGGUUGUGCUCAAGGCUAAGCCAUUUGCUUAUGCUUCAAAGAAACAUUUCAAAGAAUGUGAGAAGUCCAAGCCUUCACCAACUCCUUACUACUACAAAUCACCUCCACCUCCCUCACCAGUUUACAAGUAUAACUCACCACCUCCACCCGUCCAUUAUUACUCACCUCCAUAUUACUACAAGUCACCUCCUCCCCCCGUGAAAGCGGCACCAACUCCUUACUACUACAAAUCACCUCCACCUCCCGCACCAGUUUACAAGUACAACUCCCCACCUCCGCCAGUCCAUUACUAUUCACCUCCAUACACCUAUAAGUCACCUCCUCCUCCUGUGAAAGCAGCACCAACUCCUUACUACUACAAAUCACCUCCACCUCCCGCACCGGUUUACAAGUACAACUCACCACCUCCACCGGUCCAUUAUUAUUCUCCACCAUACUACUACAAGUCACCACCCCCACCAUCUCCAUCACCUCCUCCACCAUACUAUUUCAAAUACUAUUACAAGUCCCCACCUCCACCAUCACCAUCCCCUCCUCCACCUUAUUAUUACAAAUCUCCUCCUCCACCAAAACAAAUUUCACACCCUCCAUACUACUAUAAGUCACCACCCCCACCAUCACCAUCACCUCCUCCACCAUACUAUUAUAAGUCUCCACCUCCACCAUCACCAUCUCCCCCACCACCUUAUUAUUAUAAGUCACCACCCCCACCAUCCCCGUCCCCUCCUCCACCAUACUACUACAAGUCUCCACCUCCACCUAAAGAAAUAUCACAUCCUCCAUAUAACUAUAAGUCACCACCCCCACCAUCACCAUCCCCUCCCCCUCCAUACUAUUACAAAUCUCCUCCACCACCAUCACCAUCACCACCACCUCCCUACUAUUACAAAUCACCUCCACCACCAUCACCAUCACCUCCCCCUCCAUACUAUUACAAAUCUCCUCCACCACCAUCACCAUCACCACCACCUCCUUACUAUUACAAAUCACCUCCACCACCAUCCCCAUCACCACCACCUCCAUACUACUACAAAAGUCCCCCUCCACCAUCUCCAUCUCCUCCAUCCCCAUAUUACUACAAAUCUCCACCACCACCAUCACCAUCCCCACCCCCUCCCUACUAUUACAAAUCACCUCCACCUCCCUCACCAUCACCGCCACCUCCUUACUAUUACAAAUCUCCCCCACCUCCAUCUCCAUCUCCACCACCUCCUUAUCACUAUCAAAGUCCUCCUCCCCCAUCUCCCAUUUCUCAUCCUCCCAACUACUACAAAUCCCCUCCACCACCAUCGCCAUCUCCUCCACCUCCAUACCAUUACGUGAGUCCUCCCCCACCAGUAAAGUCACCUCCACCACCAGCUUACAUCUAUGCUUCUCCACCACCACCAAUCUACAACUAGCCUCACAACACCAAAUCACCAUUGGUGAUAAAUUAUGUAAGUUUACCAUUAUUGCAAUCAUAACACUUGCAUCUUUUCCCACCCAUACACACACAUAUCACAUGUUUAAAUUUUAUGUACUAAUCAACAAAAACUCUUAUUUGUUUUCAGGUUCUAGUUUUCAUCAAGGAAUAAAGUCGUCCAUUUGGAGCAAAGUGAAACAACUAGCUCUCUGUCCAAAUUAUUUGAUGGCCAUCUUGCACUUCCUAAUCUUAUUGUGUUCAAGUGACUGGCUAAUCAAAAUGUGGAAGCGAGAUUAAUUUAUUUAUUAUCUCUUUGAUUUAUAUGUGCAUAGAUUGAUAUUUCCCUGUAUGAUAACUUUAUUUUUAUUGAGGAUUUUUUGUAUUGUACCCUGUUGUGUUUGUUAAAAUAAGUAUUAUCAAUGAAGAAUUACCUUCAAUUUCUUUCCACCUAAUUAGUUCUUGUUUCUUUUAAACAACUAUCAAGCAUGUCAGCAAGGCAAAGCAUACCACUACCACCAUAUCACCAUAAAAUGCAUCAUUAUUCAUUGCAUAUGAGAUAAAUAUAUGCAAACUAUAUCUAAUUAUUAAGAGGGGGAAAAAACUAAUGUACAGAAAAUGUACCUCAAGGCUUCAGGAUAGGUGUUAGAAACCCAAGCUUUUAAUAGCUCUCUCCAAGAAUCCUCGUUUCUACAACUUAAGUUCCUAUAUUAAUCAAUUAUAAUAUAUGAGAAACUUAUGUUGUCGACCAACAAUACAGGUGACUCAAAAAAAUAUUAUAUUUUAAAAGUCAAACCUUGAGCUAUACACAUGUAAGCAUCAUCAAUAUAAGUUUCACCAUUGUUCAUGUGUAUUAUUCCAUAAAUUUUGGCUCAGUUGAGGUUACUACACUGGUUUUCUUCCUAUUGUAUCAUAUAUUUAAAUACUAUGGUGCGUUUGGAUAAACAGCUUAUGUCACAAGCACUUAUCAUGAUAAGCGCUUUUGUAUAAACUUGCAUGAGUUAUUUUCAUAUCAAAAGAUAAACAAGAACAUUAAAUUGUUUUUGUAUAUUACUUAAGUUGUUUUCAUAAGCUAUGUUGAAGAACUAAUGAAAAUUAGCUGAAAAAAGCUUAUGCUGUUUUCAUGAAUUCUCCCUAACAGUCUCACAAUAUUUAUGUCAGUAUAUAAUCAAAUAAGUCAAUCCAAACAGGCCCCACGUCUUCUAUAUUAGACCAUAUGACAAUUUCUUUUCGGUUUAUUCUCAUUAAAAGUUAAAAAUGGUGUAUUUGAAUCCUAUAAUUCUUUGUCAUACAAGUGCAUUCAAAUACAAUUUGAAGCCAUGGUGAAAGUGUUUAAUUUGCAGAGCUCACCAACAUAAUCUAACGUAUAUUUGGAUUGACUUAUUUGAACUUAUCUACUAGCACAAAUACUUGUGAGAUUGUUUACGAAAGUUUAUGGAAAAAACUUACAACACACACAUAAGUUGUUUUCAGCUUAUUUCCAUAAACUCUUCAAAAUAGCUUAUGAAACAACUUAUAUGAUAAGAGCUUAUUCUAUAAGCGCUUAAUUAAGUUUUAAUCCAUUCUUCUUCUACCUUCAUCUUCAGUUAACAAAACGAAUACAAUUUCUGAAAAUUCAAAGUUCAAACACCAAAAAAUACCUAAAAUGAAAAAUUGUUGAAUGAAAGCGCAAAUAGAACCUGGCAAUGCGUUCGAGAAGCACGUGGAGGAGGUGGCGUGGCAGAAGAAUGUGUGGAUUUCAUCGGAGAAUUUCAGUUCUGCUCGCGCCAUUUAAGAAAUUUUGUAAACUUAAAGUUUAGUUUAAGUUUACCCCUCUUUUUUUUUCAUUUUAAAGGAGUUUACCCUACAAAUUUUUGUAUGUUUUUGCCACGUUUACAAAUGAUUUAAUAUGUUUUUAUCCUAUAUAUAUUUAGGGAUGUAAAUGGAUAUUAUGAUGCGGAUAGUGUAAUAUUUGUGUCUGUUCCAUUGGAUAAAUAUGAAAUCUGUACCAUAUUCAUAUCGUACGGAUAUCUGUUUAGCGGGUAAUCCACAGAUUUUGAGAUAUUUGAGUGUUUAUAGAUAUAUUCAUUGAUAACAUUUAUAAAAAUAAAAUAAAAAAUUUGUUUAAUUCUUUUUAGAGACAAAGGUUCUUCAUAUGCAUUUUCUUUUCUUUUUAACAAAACAUAAUAUUCAUACAUUAUAAUAACAACAAAGAUCAUUGACUCAACAAAAACAUAAAUAAAGUUGCUUACAUUUAAUAAAAAUAAAGUUAUUUGAUUUAACAAAAACAAAGCUCUUGCAUCAACAAUCCCAACCACUUUCACUUCCUUUUAAAAGAGUGUAAUAACAAAUAACACUCACAAUACAUAAGGUUUUUUUUUAGGAAGUUGAAUGAUAUUAAGGUUAUUUAUGUAAUUUACUCGGUUUAAUAGUCGGUAUGGAUAUCCACGGGUGUGGAUACCGUUAAAUCCGCAUCCAUAUCCAUUAAUUAGCAGGUAGUUAAAAAAUUCAUUUAUUUUAUCCAUUGAUAUCCAUUAAGGUAUCCGCUCCGUGCCCGUGACGGAUUAUAUCCGCGGAUAUUCACGGGUGCGAAUUUUUUUGUCAUCCCUAUAUAUAUAUAUUAGUCUUAAACUUGACUAUUUUUUAUUAUCAUUUGGUGCUAUAAUUAAAAAAAAAAAAAAAAUAUUGUUCGUCUGAGCCAUUUAGCUACAGGCUAUUACUUUUCUCAUUCUACAUGUUUCUCGCUUGUCCUAUUUUUUUUUUAAUACUUUUUGCUCGAAUUCUAAAAUCUAAACUCCUAUAGGGAUUUUUGGAUUCUAUAAUCCAAAACACGUUGAAACCCAAAAAUAAAAUAAAAAACUAUGUAAUUGAAAUCAAAGAUCUCUACUGCUAAUGCACGUUUUCCACAAAAACUACAAAGUAAUUUCAAAGUAAUUUCACAAAAACUAUCGUAUGAAUAGACAGCAAUGAGCAUGAUAUCAUAAAUAACUCAAAACUUUAUAAAAAUAAAAAUAAAAAAAUGAAUAAGAAGAUGUGAAGAAUGAAUGUAAACGUUGGAGGAUACAAAGCUAUUUAUAGACAUAAAAUGUUCCUAGACUCUAAAGUGGGUCAAAGAAAACAUGAAUAACAUUUACAACUUAAUUAACACAUCACAGAUCAUUCAAACCUUUGGUGUAACAUCAUCGUAUGUAGUCUGGCACAGUUUGGAUUAUACAAUCUGAACAUUUCAUAAGCAGUUUGGAUUAUAUAAUUUGAACUAUCCCAGACUGUGUUUCAGCUUGAUGUUUGGAGGGUUUUGUAUGGUGGAUAACACAAAAAAAUGACAUAAUUCAACAACGUAAAAAAUAUAAUAAGAUAAGUGAUGAUGAAAGGGAAGCCGCACCAAGAGGUGUUUUUGAAUUCGAUCCAGUUGUCCUAUCAACUGACAUAUAUUUCUAUUGGCAUGGCAGCAAGAUCAAGUUUCAAAACGACCUUUUUGUGUUCAUAUCCGCAAAAUAAUGAUGAAAGGCAAGGUAUUCCAAGAAGUGUUUUUUAACUUGAUCUCGCUACCUUGUCAACUAACAUAUUUCUAUAGACAGUGCAGCAAGAUCAAAUUUAUAACAACCUCUAGGUGUUCAUAUCCGCUAAGUAAUUUUUCGUAGUUCUUUAUUGUGAUCUACAAAAAAAAAAAAAAAAAAGAUCUAUUUAUAUAAGUUUAUGUGCGUCGCGAACCAGAUAAAUUUUCGAUGCAUUGUGGACCAAAAAAAAAUUCUAAUUCGGACUAAACAAGAUGAAUUUUCCUUCACCCUAGAAAGUAAAAGUUUUGACAAACACAAGACUGAUUAUACAUUAAAUACAACAAUCAGCCAAACUAAACAUAUUAGAUCACAAAUCUUUCAAACUAACUUCUUCAUUGGAUUCCUCCAAGAGAGCCUUGAUUUAUUUGUAUGUUCUAGGCCGAAUCAAUUUUUUUUAAUAUCUUUGAAAGGGCCCGACCAAGAAAACAUCCAACUCAAUUGGUCAUUUAAUACCGUACUGACCAAAUAUUAAAACAUUAUUCUCUUAUCGCAUUGUUCCUGAGUUUAAUCUAGGUAAACUAGAUGCUUUCAUCUUAGCCAAUCGAUGGACUUUGAUGCUCAACAUUGUCCAUCCUUCUUGUGUCUGUGUUGUUGAGUCGACGGUUGAUUUAGUCCAGCUAAUAUUGGACUUUCCCCCAUUGUAGUAAACUACAGUUAGUUUGGUGUCAGAUCAAUGAUUGAAGUGUUCAUGAUUAUUUGGUGUGGUUUAUAGCAAAUGAAAACAAGCACACCAAUUUAUAGAAGUUUAUGUGCGCCGCGGACUACAAUAACUAUUGGUGCAAUGAAGACCAUAGAAAAAGCAUGUACUUGGCUGAUUUGGAUUAUAUAAUUUACAUUGUCCCUCACCCUACAAAGUACAAAUUUCAACACAAUAUUGAACCAAUUCGGAUUAUAGAAUCCAAUCAUUUAUGAGAUAAUUUCGGAUUAUAUAAUUAAAACUAGUUCACAAUGUGAACCGCAGCUUGGUCAGCAAGACUAACUCAUUAAAAAUGUUUUUUAAGUUGGUGAACGACGCUUGACUGGUCAGCAAGACUUGAAAACAAUUUUCGUACCAUGCAUUAAUGGACCAUUACCCUCUAUGAAAUGUACUUCACAAAUUCUCCUUCCGAAUACCCACUAAUACAUCACAAAUUCUUAUUUCAUCUCACAUUCUCUCGUUCUUUUUACUUCUACAAUGUGCUUCCAUAGUUUGUGUUUCAUACAAAAAUGUUACUCUAAUAUUUUAUGGAUUGUAUGAAUGGUCAAAAGGCAAAAAUUGGCACCAUCUGUUUGGAUGUAAGGUUGAUCAUCAAAGUCUAAUCCACUAAGAGAGGAAACAAACCUUACCCCAACCUCAUUCCCCAUUCAUCUUCUUGCACCGCAUGUUUAAAUGAUACUCCCUCCGGUCCUAUUUAUAAGAGAAAGUUAGGUCAACAAAAGUUGAUGUAUCUGAACUGAAUUUUUAACCGGAUACAUCAACUUUUGUUGACCCAAAUUUCUCUUAUAAAUAGGACCGGAGGGAGUAUUUGUACAACCAUUUUGGUACAACUUUUGUACAACUUUCUCUCUCAUACUCACAUUAUGUUUUUAUUCUCUCUCUUACUUUUUUUCUCUCCAUUGUGGUUGACCAAUAAGAAGGGAGAAUAUCAAGGUUGUCACAAAAAUUGUAACAAAAGAGUUGUUCAAAUAUCAUUACUCUUAUCAUUAUGUGUUAAAUAAUUUUGUGUAAUAAGCUUCAAUGACAAUGUAAAUAUACAAUAAAAGAUAUAAAUUAUUCAUAAAAUGAAAAUUUUAUUCAUUUAUCUUUUUAUAUUUUUGUCUCUUUUAGUUUCAGUCAUUUUCAAUUAUGCAUUCUUAAUAUUAUGUCAAUGUUGAUCAAUAAUUAUUGGCAAAAGAAGUUUUCAUGUUAUAGAAUAUGAAAAUCCCUGGUACCAAAAAAAAAAAAAAUCUGAAAAUCCCUCUAUAGGAUUUCAGAUUUUAGAAUCCGACCAAAUGGUAUUUUGAAGAGAGAAAAAUAGUGUGUCUAAGUAACUCAUGUUGAGAAAAGUAAUAGCCUUAAUUAUGUCUCCGAUAAACAUUUUAUUCCCUUCCGUUAAUCAGUUAAUCCCAAAUGUCUAAGGUGAACCAAUAUUAUAGGUGGUCUACCAUAAACCUCAUAACAAUUUUAAGGUCAAAUACCACUUUUGGUCAUUUUAGUUUGACAGAAUUCUCAAGUUAGUCAUUUAAGUUUCGAAAGUUUCAAUUAGGUCCUUUUAGUUUGACAGAAUUCCCAAGUUAAUCCUUUAAGUCAUAAAAUUCAGGGGAGCAAAGUAGAUACUCCAGUUUUCAGAGGCGGAGACAUAGUCAUGUCAAAAGCAUCCCACAUCCUAUUACCACCUACUUGAACUCAUCAAGCUUGGUAUGGACCAUUCACAGUAACAUGUGUAUGUAGUCUCGUGGAGAUCUGGGACAAUAUCAAAUGGCAUGCUAAGGUGAAUCGACACAAACUGAAGCAUGUUAAAGAUUGCAUCCGGAAAAUGAAAGUUGAAGAAGAUGAACCUGCUUUGAAGAGGUUCAAGGGCACAACAUAGACUUAUUCUCCAUGUUCAAGAUGUAAAACACGCAUUGAACGAGAGACAACCCAUUAAUUUAUUUUCUCCGUUAUUUGUCUUGUGUCAUUUUUGCUCGAAUUUUUUGCCGUCAAUUCUUUAUGAAUUAUCAGUCAUAUUAUAUUACACACUAGACAAUUUUUUUGGUACCUUGAGCCUUUUCAAUCCGCCCUUAUCAUCAUUAUAUCCUUUGCUAAAUCCCUUUGAGCUUCCAUGCAUUAUUUCUUUUGUUUUUUUUAUUAAGUAACAAAUCAUGUCACAAGUUUGAACUUUUAAUGCCAUCUAUUUGAUUUCUUUUAUAGUUAGAUAGAAUAUUUUUAAGAACUUGGUAUGAUUUGAAUAUAUGUUAGGGUUAUAAGGGAGAAAUGUAAUGGCAAAGAGGAAGAGCAAGAAAAGAGAUGAAAGAUGAAGGGACAUUAGGCAGACUCAAUCACGGUAGUUAGAAUGAUUGCCUUCUGUUUUGCAGUAAUUUGCAUGAGCUUCACUUUUCAAGUAGAGUAAAAAAAACAGGAAUAGAUAGACACAUUUCUUCUAAGUUUGAGUAGUGAGUGAUAACACUUCUAUGUAAUCCCUAAAAAAAAACACUUCUAUGUAAAAAAAUCACAUGGGAAAUCCAUUCCUAUAGUACACGUAAUUUUGAUCUGGAAGGUUGACUUUUCAACAAAAUAACCUAAAAUAAUUUGUUCAUAACAUAAUAGAGGAAUCUAGAAGUGUUCGCGGUGCGGUUUGAUUCGGUUUUGAGCAAAAAAGUCAUCCAAACCGCGCGAUAAAAAAACAUGUGGUUUGGUUCGGUUGAUUUUUAAAAAAUCAUCCAAACCAAACCAAACUAAACCAAUACGGUUUGGAUUGGUUCGGUUUGUGCGGUUUAUCGCGAGAUAAAAAAAAAAUAUUACAUUAACUCUAAUAUUUCCAAAUUGUUACAAAAUAAACAUAGAACGUUUUUUUAUUUAUUUUUAUAUGAUAAAAUAUUAGGUAAAACUCAUAUCAAAAUAGGUAAAAUUAAGAAGAAUUUAUAAGCAUGAAACAAAUUAUUGGAAAGUAAAGGAAACAAAUUUAAGUAAUAUUCAUUAUUCUUGCAGCUAUGUAAUUGGGCUAGAAACAUUUUAUUUUGAUGUUUAUAUCGAACAUGAUGGUGCAACAAUGGAAAAAUCAAAUCAAAAAAGAUUAUUCUUGAGCUAUGUAAUUGAGCUAGUACAUAUUUAAGUAAUAUUCAUUAUUCUUGCGGUUUGGUUUGGUUUGAUUCGGUUGCUGAGAUGCAAACCGCAAAUCAAACCAAACUGUAUGUUUUAGUGCAAAAGUCAUCUGAAUUCAUCCGAAAUCAAGUACGAUUUUUUACGAUUUUGAAUUGGUUUAAUUUGCCGUUUUUCUAUUGGAUUGGUUCGGUUUGAACGAUCUGCAUGAAUUCUUCUAGUUGAUUGUUGGACUAUUUUUAAUUGGCAAAGGCUUAGUUGUCCAUUUAUAAAUAUAAAUACUAUUAUUACAUUAUCCAAUCCAAUAGCACCAAAACCAAUAUAAUAAUGGUAAUUUGCAAUUUUGCACGUUUCAUUCAUUUAUUGGUGCCUUAAUUUUGGGUUACAGACCGACAUUGAUCAGUUGCUAAAAAACCACUGCAUCCUUAUUUUUUACGAGGUAGAUGCAUCGGACAAAUAAACCGACAAACAAAGCUAUUCAGAAAGUGCUCAGAAAUUUUUUGUGCCCCAACAGAAAAUAUUAAGAAAGUCUUGCUACACAGUGUCUUGUAUACAAGUGAAAUAUGUGUGGUAUUAUGCACAAGUUUAUUUUUACAAGUUGAUAUAAGAAUCUAAGUAUAUUUUUAUGGAAAAUUAAUGCUAACAAAUACUUUCAAAGCAUUGUUUAAGCAAUCAAUAUUAGUAACUUUUGCAUAGAAAUAUGUGUGAUUAUUAUUUUUUCAUAUGUUUUAUAUGUUUUCAAGAAAAUAUUUUUAUUUAUGGUUUUUUUAAAUAGUGUCCUUAGGUACUUGUUAGCAAAAUCUUAUUUAUAUAAGUUGAUCUAAGAAUCUCAUUAUUGUAUCGAGUGAGAUACGGCCAUACCGAAGCUUAUGGAUUCCAUAGUGGAAAAAUAACUUUUCAUCAGUGCAAUACUAUUUUAGUUGUAGAAUUUCUUUUCUUGUGUGUCCUAUUUCAGAUUUUAAAAUCCAAACAAUCGAAGGUUUAUGAAGGUUUUUCGAACAUUUUCGCACUGUUUGAAUUAUAUGAUCUGAAAUGUCAUAGAACAUGCGAGAAGCAAGUUGAAUGAAAUAAAAAACUCCUGCUCAAUAGAAUUAUUUUACUUGGUUAUUGUUUGAAUUUUAUUCUCCUUCAAAGACGGCAAUGUGCAAUUGUGCAUUUCAUCCGGAGAGUGGCAACAUCUCAUGCAUGUUCAUCUCAUAUAACUGAGAAGUCACAUGGCUUGGAAAAUCUUAAACCGAGAAAAACAAAAGGAGUAAAAGUAAUAAUAGUGAACCAAAGUGAAGAUGAACUUGUAGUCUAUCAAAAGAAGAUGAACUUGUUCGUCUUGGCAUAGUAACUCAUUUUUAUUCCUUGUUACCUAUGAAACACGGACAAUAGAUACAACACGGACACCAAUACGUUAAUACCGUUAAUAAUAUAAAAAAAUAGGUACAUUGAAUAAUUAAUGUAUUUGACCUAUAAAUGUGACCAGAUAUAUUAAUUAUUCAAUGUAUCUAAAAAGUUGGUUUUUGUUUAUAAAUAUGAUCAUAUGGAGUACUACUUUAGUGUAAUUUUAUGUAUUGGUACUGCGAGACAUCUAAUCUAAAGAGUGUCAAUGUUUUCACACAUAUUACUCACCAAAGUGCACACAUUAUAUGCAUUUAGGUAAACUGAGUUCAUCCAAAAUUGUAACCGCACAAACAGAGGGCCGCUAGGAAAUAUGAGGUAAAUUUGGAUUAUUCUUUAUCAAAAGCUUAUGACCAAAGAAAAACUAUACAAAAACUAAUGUUCAAAAAGUACAUAAAGUAAUAAUGCAAAGUCAAUGUGUAUAUAUAUUUCACCAUUAAAUAAAAGGGGAAAAAAAUCUCCAUACACAGCUUGCAAUAGCUACCAUCAUGGCCUAAAGCAAAUAUCAUAUGACCACUAAAAAACAAUAGAAAAUAAACAAAUAAAAAGAGAAAAACAAAAGAGAAAAUGGUAUAAAGAAAUCAUGUAGUAGUUAGUUUUUUCUCAAGAUGGGCAACUCAGCAGGGCUGCUAGGAGGAAAUUACAAAAGAACAUGACACUUAACUUCUCUAAUCAUUCAAAAUUUGUCAAGAUGCUGAUUAUAUAUUUUAAUUAGUAGUUAGAGAUUGUUAUAGUAACGUGUUCUAGCCAUCAAGAAUAAAACAAUGUCAUGGAAAAGAAGUGGCCUACUAGAAGAAUUAAUUUAAAGCAUUUACACCAAAAUAAAAACAAAUUGAAUAUUGGAAUUGGUCCUUCAUGAUAGCUUCCCCUUAACAACUAACUCUAACUAUAAAUACUGAAUCUUGCAUGCAACAUUUCAUAGUAAACACUAAGACCAAAACCUCUUCUUUCUAUCCAUGACUGCUAGGGCUAGUUGCCCCAAAAUGGGGCAUUUUUGGCCACAAAUGGCAAUGGCAUUGGCCAUUGUUUUGAUUUCUACUACUAUGGUUUCUGCUUCUGAUAGCUACAUUUACUCUUCGCCUCCACCACCUUAUGAGUACAAGUCCCCACCACCGCCGUCUCCCUCACCACCUCCUCCUUAUGUGUAUAAGUCACCACCUCCCCCAUCCUCGUCACCCCCACCACCAUAUGAGCACAAGGCUCCAUCUUAUGAGUACAAGUCACCACCACCACCAACUUCUUCACCACCACCUCCUUAUGUAUACAAGUCACCACCACCACCAUCUCCUUCACCGUCACCUCCUUAUGUGUACAAGUCACCACCACCUCCAUCCCCAUCACCCCCACCUCCUUACGUGUACAAGUCACCACCACCACCCUCGCCUUCCCCGCCCCCACCAUACUAUUACAAGUCUCCUCCACCACCCUCGCCUUCCCCACCGCCACCAUACUAUUACAAGAGUCCUCCACCACCCUCUCCUUCACCUCCACCUCCUUACUACUAUAAAUCGCCUCCACCACCCUCACCUUCCCCUCCCCCACCAUACUAUUACAAGUCUCCUCCACCACCAUCUCCCUCACCACCUCCUCCAUAUUACUACAAGUCUCCCACACCACCUUCACCCUCCUCUCCACCCCCAUAUAUACACAAGGAUCCACCAUACUAUUACAAGUCCCCACCACCCCCUUCACCAUCUCCUCCACCACCAUACUACUAUAAAUCUCCCCCACCACCCUCACCCUCUCCACCCCCACCUUACUAUUACAAGUCUCCUCCACCACCUUCACCAUCUCCUCCACCACCAUACUAUUACAAAUCUCCUCCUCCUCCAUCUCCUAUUCCCCAUACACCUUACUAUUACAAAUCUCCCCCACCACCUUCACCAUCUCCUCCACCACCAUACUAUUACAAAUCUCCUCCUCCUCCAUCUCCUAUUCCCCGUACACCUUACUAUUACAAAUCUCCCCCACCACCUUCACCAUCUCCUCCACCACCAUACUACUACAAAUCCCCUCCUCAUCCAUCUCCCAUUCCCCAUACACCUUACUAUUACACAUCUCCCCCACCACCUUCACCGUCUCCUCCACCACCAUAUUACUACAAAUCUCCUCCCCCUCCGUCUCCUAUUCCCCACACACCUUACUACUACAAGUCCCCACCACCACCAAAGGUCCUUCCACCACCAUACUAUUACAAUUCUCCUCCUCCACCUGUUGUGUAUCCUCACCCAUAUCCCUACCACCACUCACUUAUUGUGAGGGUAGUCGGUAAAGUCUACAGCUUCAGAUGUUAUGAUUGGAAUUAUCCUGCAAAGUCUCAUAACAAG
rnacentral:lncRNA from 1 species